UCUUAUGUACAUUCCUAGAACAUUAAUGCAUUAGAUUCCAUCAAAACUCCAUAGUUAAGCACACUUGGGAUAGAGUAGUACCGGGAUAGGUGACCUCCUAGAAAUUCCUUGUGUUUUAAAU
rnacentral:rRNA from 1 species